rnacentral:rRNA from 1 species
AUACGGAGGAUGCGAGCGUUAUCCGGAUUUAUUGGGUUUAAAGGGAGCGUAGGCGGGAGAUCAAGUCAGCUGUGAAAUGUAGAUGCUCAACAUCUGCACUGCAGUUGAAACUGGUUUUCUUGAGUGCGUAAGGGGCAGGCGGAAUUCGUCGUGUAGCGGUGAAAUGCUUAGAUAUGACGAAGAACUCCGAUCGCGAAGGCGGCCGGCCGGGCCGCGACUGACGCUGAAGCUCGAAGGUGCGGGUAUCGAACAGGAUUAGAUACCCUGGUAGUCCGCACAGUAAACGAUGGAUACUCGCUGUCGGCGAUAUACGGUCGGUGGCCAAGCGAAAGCGUUAAGUAUCCCACCUGGGGAGUACGCCGGCAACGGUGAAACUCAAAUGAAUUGACGGGG